AGUGAACGCUGGCGGUAGGCCUAACACAUGCAAGUCGAACGGCAGCACAGGAGAGCUUGCUCUCUGGGUGGCGAGUGGCGGACGGGUGAGGAAUACAUCGGAAUCUACUCUGUCGUGGGGGAUAACGUAGGGAAACUUACGCUAAUACCGCAUACGACCUACGGGUGAAAGCAGGGGAUCUUCGGACCUUGCGCGAUUGAAUGAGCCGAUGUCGGAUUAGCUAGUUGGCGGGGUAAAGGCCCACCAAGGCGACGAUCCGUAGCUGGUCUGAGAGGAUGAUCAGCCACACUGGAACUGAGACACGGUCCAGACUCCUACGGGAGGCAGCAGUGGGGAAUCUUGCGCAAUGGACGAAAGUCUGACGCAGCACGCCGCGUGAGUGAAGAAGGCCUUCGGGUUGUAAAGCUCUGUCGGGCGGGACGAAAAUACUUGAGGUGAAUAGCCUCAGGGACUGACGGUACCGCCAAAGGAAGCACCGGCUAACUUCGUGCCAGCCGCCGCCGUAA
rnacentral:rRNA from 1 species